UUAAACAUUUUAUCGAGCGGCGGACGGGUGAGUAACACGUAGGUAACCUACCCAAAACGAGGGGGAUAACAUCUGGAAACAGGUGCUAAUACCGCAUAACAACAUUUAUCGCAUGAUAGAUGUUUGAAAGAUGGUUUCGGCUAUCACUUUUGGAUGGACCUGCGGCGUAUUAGUUAGUUGGUGAGGUAACGGCUCACCAAGACGAUGAUACGUAGCCGAACUGAGAGGUUGAUCGGCCACACUGGGACUGAGACACGGCCCAAACUCCUACGGGAGGCAGCAGUAGGGAAUCUUCCACAAUGGACGAAAGUCUGAUGGAGCAACGCCGCGUGAGUGAAGAAGGGUUUCGGCUCGUAAAACUCUGUUGUUAAAGAGGAACAUAUCUGAGAGUAACUGUUCAGGUAUUGACGGUAUUUAACCAGAAAGCCACGGCUAACUACGUGC
rnacentral:rRNA from 1 species